CACGUAGGGGGCAAGCGUUGUCCGGAUUUAUUGGGCGUAAAGAGCUCGUAGGUGGUUCGGUAAGUCGGGUGUUAAACCCCCAGGCUCAACCUGGGGACGCCACUCGAUACUGCUGUGACUAGAGUCCGGUAGGGGAGCGUGGAAUUCCUGGUGUAGCGGUGAAAUGCGCAGAUAUCAGGAGGAACACCAAUGGCGAAGGCAGCUCUCUGGUACGUGACUGACGCUGAGACGCGAAAGCGUGGGGAGCGAACAGG
rnacentral:rRNA from 1 species